rnacentral:rRNA from 1 species
UGGGGAAUUUUGCACAAUGGAGGAAACUCUGAUGCAGCGACGCCGCGUGAGUGAUGAAGAUCUUCGGAUUGUAAAACUCUGUCCUUAGUGAAGAUAAUGACAGUAACUAAGAAGCAAGCCCUGGCUAAAUACGUGCCAGCAGCCGCGGUAAUACGUAUGGGGCAAGCGUUGUCCGGAAUUAUUGGGCGUAAAGGGUACGUAGGCGGUUUAAUAAGUCCUAAUUAAAAGGCUAUGGCUCAACCAUAGUAUGGUUAGGAAACUGUUGAACUUGAGUAGAUGAGGGGAAAGUGGAAUUCCAUGUGUAGCGGUGAAAUGCGGAGAUAUAUGGAGGAACACCAAUGGCGAAGGCAACUUUCUGGAAUCAAACUGACGCUGAGGUACGAAGGCGUGGGGAGCAAACAGG